CUGUGGUGGACAACGUUUCUUUGUUCUCUGGCUUUCAAGUUUAAGGGGUGCUUGGACUAUCUUGCAUCGGUGGAUAUGAAAAUAGUGGUAACCUACCCUACGAAACAGCUGUUUGCACAUAAGCUUAACAGUUCCCUGUGAGAUGCUGUGAAAGUCAGCAGGGAAGUGCGAUGUAGAAGAAACGACUGCCUGAAGCUUGCUAAGGAACCGCACAACCUGUGUGGGCAGCAGACAAAAUAUUCAUCAAACGGUACAAAACUAGUAUUUUUGUGCUUUGUCGUUUUGAGACAUCCUUGGUAUUGUAUGGAGAACAGCGUGACUAUGUCAUUCCGUCUUACUUCACCCAAACAGCUAUCUGGUAGUAGUGCAAGAUUUGAGUUCCUAAAAGGUUUAUUCACUGAAGUCACCUCAGCGCCAUACUAUAGGUCCCGCAAUGUUUAGUCCUUGCAUUUGUUUGCUGCAUUAUGCUUUUUAGGUGACUAUUAACACCAAAAAUAUGGAAAUUGCUCAGACAUUCUACAAAUCACAGAGCAACAAGUUUUAAACACCAGAUAUACGGUGAGUAUAAUAUGGGGAACAGCUUGACUGAAAUCUACAAUAGGGCCGAUGGCAGCAAAUCUGCCUGCUAGCGACAGUGGCGGUCUCCUGCGGAUGACGUCAUGUGAAUAAACUUGUAUACUACUUGUACGUACUUAUAAUAUUUGACGUGGUGAUACAGCUCUUGCUUUGUAUUGUCUUUUAUAAUAUACACAGUGUUUAUUUUUAUCCUGUACAGAAGCUUUGCACCAAAGUUAUGAGAGCAGCACAGAUGUUGUUUUAGCGUAAUGGAGUGAUGGAAGUGCUGCACCAAUCAUGGAGUGCUUAGCAGUCGCCUGCUCGACCAGCCACAGUGAGUCAUUGGAGGCAGUGCUACAGCACCAACAAUCACUCCGCCAACUCACUGGAAGAAAGGAAUGAGGUGGCCAUCAACACCCUGCUGCCAGUUCAACACUCCUCAGUCAAAACACAAGACGCCUGCUUGGCGGCAAAGUCAAUCCAGUUUUAGACAAGAGUUUUGUACCGUAGACUUCGUGUGUGGUUUACUGCGAAUAAAUGUUUAUGCUGAGA